rnacentral:rRNA from 1 species
GAUGAACGCUGGCGGCGUGCCUAAUACAUGCAAGUCGAGCGAACAGACGAGGAGCUUGCUCCUUUGACGUUAGCGGCGGACGGGUGAGUAACACGUGGGUAACCUACCUAUAAGACUGGGAUAACUUCGGGAAACCGGAGCUAAUACCGGAUAAUAUUUCGAACCGCAUGGUUCGAUAGUGAAAGAUGGAUCUGCUAUCACUUAUAGAUGGACCUGCGCCGUAUUAGCUAGUUGGUAAGGUAACGGCUUACCAAGGCAACGAUACGUAGCCGACCUGAGAGGGGGAUCGGCCACACUGGAACUGAGACACGGUCCAGACUCCUACGGGAGGCAGCAGUAGGGAAUCUUCCGCAAUGGGCGAAAGCCUGACGGAGCAACGCCGCGUGAGUGAUGAAGGUCUUCGGAUCGUAAAACUCUGUUAUUAGGGAAGAACAAACGUGUAAGUAACUGUGCACGUCUUGACGGUACCUAAUCAGAAAGCCACGGCUAACUACGUGCCAGCAGCCGCCGUAACAC